AAGAAGAAAACAAGAGAGUGAAGAAUUCAGAAAUUUUUUUUAGAAUUUGUCACAUAAGAAAUUGUCAUCAUCUUCUUCUUUUAUUCUAACCCUUCUCAAACCAUAAUCCAAGUUCUCAUGUGUUGAGAUAUACUUGUGAUUUCUAAAUUACAAACCUAUGUUCUCUAUGUGCCCACAGACAUCUUAAGGUGUAGAGAACACUCCAGACGAUCGUGGUUUGACUACUCAAAACAUUGGAUAGGAAGAUCAAUAUAUAUACGAAAAGACUCAAGGACACUUGAUAGGCUUCAAGAGGAAAAUAGCUUUGGUGGCUGGAAAGGUUCUUGGUAGUUUGGGCAUGUGUAUUGAGGCAGAAUGGAAUCGAAGGGCCGAGAGUUCGAUUCGAGGAUGAAGUUUCUUUACUAAUGGUUUUAUGUGUAUUUUUUCGCACUUUAUUAUGUAAUCCCUUUUAAUUACAAUUAUGUUAUGUUUUGAUUUUAAAACAAUGGGAUCCCAUAUCCUACUUUAAAUUUUAUGUAAGUUUAACAUUUAUUAUUACAAGUUUUUAAUAAAGUUAUGAUCAUUUCA